AUUGAACGCUGGCGGCAUGCCUUACACAUGCAAGUCGAACGGCAGCGCGGACUUCGGUCUGGCGGCGAGUGGCGAACGGGUGAGUAAUGUAUCGGAACAUACCAUUCAGUGGGGGAUAACGCAGCGAAAGUUGCGCUAAUACCGCAUAUUCUGUGCGCAGGAAAGCAGGGGAUCGCAAGACCUUGCGCUGAUUGAGCGGCCGAUAUCAGAUUAGCUAGUUGGUGAGGUAAAGGCUCACCAAGGCGACGAUCUGUAGCGGGUCUGAGAGGAUGAUCCGGCACACUGGAACUGAGACACGGUCCAGACUCCUCCGGGAGGCAGCAGUGGGGAAUGUUGGACAAUGGGCGCAAGCCUGAUCCAGCCAUGCCGCAUGAGUGAAGAAGGCCUUCGGGUUGUAAAGCUCUUUCGGCCGGGAAGAAAUCGUAUGGGUUAAUACCCUGUGCGGAUGACGGUACCGGCAUAAGAAGCACCGGCUAACUACGUGCCAGCAGCCGCGGUAAGAC
rnacentral:rRNA from 1 species